rnacentral:ncRNA from 1 species
UACCUGGUUGAUUCUGCCAGUAGUCAUAUGCUUGUCUCAAAGAUUAAGCCAUGCAUGUCUAAGUAUAAGCAAUCAUACUGUGAAACUGCGAAUGGCUCAUUAAAUCAGUUAU